rnacentral:rRNA from 1 species
GACGAACGCUGGCGGCGUGCUUAACACAUGCAAGUCGAACGGAAAGGCCCCAGCUUGCUGGGGUACUCGAGUGGCGAACGGGUGAGUAACACGUGGGUGAUCUGCCCUGCACUCUGGGAUAAGCCUGGGAAACUGGGUCUAAUACCGGAUAGGACCGUGCUUUAGUGUGUGCGGUGGAAAGUUUUUCGGUGCAGGAUGAGCCCGCGGCCUAUCAGCUUGUUGGUGGGGUAAUGGCCUACCAAGGCGGCGACGGGUAGCCGGCCUGAGAGGGUGUACGGCCACAUUGUGACUGAGACACGGCCCAGACUCCUACGGGAGGCAGCAGUGGGGAAUAUUGCACAAUGGGCGCAAGCCUGAUGCAGCGACGCCGCGUGGGGGAUGACGGCCUUCGGGUUGUAAACCCCUUUCGGCAGGGACGAAGCUUUUGUGACGGUACCUGCAUAAGAAGCACCGGCUAACUACGUG